rnacentral:rRNA from 1 species
GAUGAACGCUGGCGGCGUGCCUAAUACAUGCAAGUCGAGCGAACGGACGAGAAGCUUGCUUUUCUGAUGUUAGCGGCGGACGGGUGAGUAACACGUGGAUAACCUACCUAUAAGACUGGGAUAACUUCGGGAAACCGGAGCUAAUACCGGAUAAUAUUUUGAACCGCAUGGUUCAAAAGUGAAAGACGGUCUUGCUGUCACUUAUAGAUGGAUCCGCGCUGCAUUAGCUAGUUGGUAAGGUAACGGCUUACCAAGGCAACGAUGCAUAGCCGACCUGAGAGGGUGAUCGGCCACACUGGAACUGAGACACGGUCCAGACUCCUACGGGAGGCAGCAGUAGGGAAUCUUCCGCAAUGGGCGAAAGCCUGGCGGAGCAACGCCGCGUGAGUGAUGAAGGUCUUCGGAUCGUAAAACUCUGUUAUUAGGGAAGAACAUAUGUGUAAGUAACUGUGCACAUCUUGACGGUACCUAAUCAGAAGGCCACGGCUAACUACGUG